rnacentral:lncRNA from 1 species
UGGACACAAGGAAAACAGUGUUUGGGGAGAUAACUCCUACAAAGAAAAGUCUUCGGUUACGCAGGGUAAAUUUCAAAAGCGCAUAAACUGUUCGAUAUCAUAUACCAAAUAUCUAAGCGACAUAUUGCGAAACAAAUAUUUAUCGCAAGAACAAAAUUAGGCGGAAGAAAAAAAAAAAAUAAUCAGAAGAAAAACAAUAGGUCUUUCCACAGAAAAGUGGAAAGACCUACUAAUAAUCAGAACAAAAUCAAAAGGUCUUUCCAAGGAAAGGUCGAAAGACUUAAUAAUAAUAAUAAUCAGAACA